AAAUAUCUAAUGACAUACUAUAAUAAUAGUUGUAUUAAUCAAAAUUAAAUAAAUUCACAUCAAUUGAAAAUUUAUUAUGUUGUCGUUUAGCUUCAAAAAUUAAAUUGUAUAUCUAAGUUUGGAACGCGUAGAGUAAUAUUAAUUUUUCUUCUACUACUAAUGUUAUCCCAUGAAUUUUUUUUUAGAGAAUUUGGACAAUCCCAAUGCAUGUAUUUGUGUAAAUUAAGAACCUAACAAAGACAAUAAUAUUAUCCUUUAAAAUAACAGUAUCAAAACUAGAACACAAAAAAUUACCUUCUAAAUCCUUUCAAAUAAAAAGAGAAGAAAACGAUGGGACUAACUUCAAAUAAUUUCACCUCUUGAAAUGAUGAUACAUUAUUUUCUAAGUUUUAGUGUAAAAACAUGAAGCACAAUAAAAACAGGAAACAUACAACAAAAACCUCUAGGGAAUUAACAAAAAAAUUGUAUCCACAAAUCCAUAAACAUCCUUGGCGAGAAGAAAGGAUUUGUGCUUAUAUACCAGCCAUUAUCAUAGACUUUAAUGGACGUUGUUACUAUGAGUGAGGACAUAGAUAACAUACUUUUGGCGGGAAGAAAGGAUGUGACCAACAUUGAAAACUCAUUAUUCCUUGAAGAUUUGAUGCAGUAGACCUUUGAGUCGGUGCAUCCCAAGUGUCUCUAUCGGUAUCAACUUUGUGAAUAGAUUUGUCAGGUAUCAAAUUUCUUGCACUUUGCCUUUACUGCCUAUUCAACAAGAUUUUUUUUCCCAAGACCUCCUUAACCAAAAAUGGAAAUGACCUAAAUCUUUCCUCCAUCUUCAGAAUAAAUAGUUGACCCUUAUCUAUUUCAUUCUCACUUCUUCCAACCAAACCCCAAAUAACAUAGAAAGAAGUCAGGUUGCUUCUUCUCCAAGUGCAUGGAUUCAUAAGGAAAAAAGUAAAGAUAUGCAUAUAUAAGAUGAGGAGCAGAGCUAGAGAAAGAGAUGAGAAAGGUAGUCUAGUUGCGAGGGGAAAGUUUGGUAGAGAUUUAAGCAUAUUUAUUAAUUAGAUUGAUGGGAGACCAUUAAUUUGUUUACUAGGAAAAGUCCAUAAAAGCAUACUGAUGGGGCCUAAAUUCAGGACGUAUGUGAAUGGGGGCAGCUGUAGGGGACACAUAUG
rnacentral:lncRNA from 1 species